AGAGUUUGAUCCUGCGCUCAGGAUGAACGCUAGCUACAGGCUUAACACAUGCAAGUCGAGGGGAAACGACAUCGAAAGCUUGCUUUUGAUGGGCGUCGACCGGCGCACGGGUGAGUAACGCGUAUCCAACCUGCCCAUCACUUGGGGAUAACCUUGCGAAAGUAAGACUAAUACCCAAUGAUAUCUCUAGAAGACAUCUGAAGGAGAUUAAAGAUUUAUCGGUGAUGGAUGGGGAUGCGUCUGAUUAGCUUGUUGGCGGGGUAACGGCCCACCAAGGCGACGAUCAGUAGGGGUUCUGAGAGGAAGGUCCCCCACAUUGGAACUGAGACACGGUCCAAACUCCUACGGGAGGCAGCAGUGAGGAAUAUUGGUCAAUGGGCGAGAGCCUGAACCAGCCAAGUAGCGUGCAGGAUGACGGCCCUAUGGGUUGUAAACUGCUUUUAUAAGGGAAUAAAGUGGGUCACGUGUGACUUUUUGCAUGUACCUUAUGAAUAAGGACCGGCUAAUUCCGUGCCAGCAGCCGCGGUAAUACGGAAGGUCCGGGCGUUAUCCGGAUUUAUUGGGUUUAAAGGGAGCGUAGGCCGGAGAUUAAGCGUGUUGUGAAAUGUAGAGGCUCAACCUCUGCACUGCAGCGCGAACUGGUCUUCUUGAGUACGCACAACGUGGGCGGAAUUCGUGGUGUAGCGGUGAAAUGCUUAGAUAUCACGAAGAACUCCGAUUGCGAAGGCAGCUCACUGGAGCGCAACUGACGCUGAAGCUCGAAAGUGCGGGUAUCGAACAGGAUUAGAUACCCUGGUAGUCCGCACGGUAAACGAUGGAUGCCCGCUGUUGGUCUGAAUAGGUCAGCGGCCAAGCGAAAGCAUUAAGCAUCCCACCUGGGGAGUACGCCGGCAACGGUGAAACUCAAAUGAAUUGACGGAAGGGCGA
rnacentral:rRNA from 1 species